UGGGGAAUUUUGGACAAUGGGCGAAAGCCUGAUCCAGCAAUGCCGCGUGUGUGAAGAAGGCCUUCGGGUUGUAAAGCACUUUUGUCCGGAAAGAAAUCCUUGGCUCUAAUACAGUCGGGGGAUGACGGUACCGGAAGAAUAAGCACCGGCUAACUACGUGCCAGCAGCCGCGGUAAUACGUAGGGUGCAAGCGUUAAUCGGAAUUACUGGGCGUAAAGCGUGCGCAGGCGGUUUGCUAAGACCAAUGUGAAAUCCCCGGGCUCAACCUGGGAACUGCAUUGGUGACUGGCAGGCUAGAGUAUGGCAGAGGGGGGUAGAAUUCCACGUGUAGCAGUGAAAUGCGUAGAGAUGUGGAGGAAUACCGAUGGCGAAGGCAGCCCCCUGGGCCAAAUACUGACGCUCAUGCACGAAAAGCGUGGGGGAGCAAAACAGGAUUAGAUACCCUGGUAGUCCACGCCCUAAAACGAUGUCAACUAGUUGUUGGGGAUUCAUUUCCUUAGUAACGUAGCUAAACGCGUGAAGUUGACCGCCUGGGGAGUACGGUCGCAAAGAUUAAAAACUUAAAUGAAUUGACGGGGUCAUAGCUGUUUCCU
rnacentral:rRNA from 1 species